rnacentral:rRNA from 1 species
UCCACGCCGUAAACUAUGGAUGCUAGCUGUUAGUCGUAUCGACCCGAUUAGUAGCGAAGCUAACGCGUUAAGCAUCCCGCCUGUGGAGUACGAGCGCAAGCUUAAAACAUAAAGGAAUUGACGGGGACCCGCACAAGCGGUGGAGCGUGUUGUUCAAUUCGAUGCAAAGCGAAGAACCUUACCCAGGCUUGACAUCCUUGAAAGGACUACGAAAGUAGACUGUGCCUUUUGGA